rnacentral:rRNA from 1 species
UACGAAGGGUGCAAACGUUGCUCGGAAUUACUGGGCGUAAAGCGUACGUAGGCGGCGCGUUAAGUGAUAUGCGAAAUCCAGCGGCUCAACCGUUUGGACUGUAUACGAUACUGACGUGCUAGAGGAUGGCAGAGGCAAGUGGAAUUGGGAGUGUAGCAGUGAAAUGCGUAGAUAUUACCAGGAACACCAAUGGCGAAGGCAGCUGGCUGGGCCAGUUCUGACGCUGAGGUACGAAAGCGUGGGGAGCGAACAGG